GCAUCGAGCAAGAACUUGGCACUGUGAUCUGUGUGGAAUUAGCCGCCGUUGUAGCAAUCACAUCACAGUCUGAGUUCUUGCUCGACGG
rnacentral:pre_miRNA from 1 species